AGAGUUUGAUCAUGGCUCAGAUUGAACGCUGGCGGCAGGCCUAACACAUGCGAGUCGAACGGUAACAGGUAGCAGCUUGCUGCUUCGCUGACGAGCGGCGGACGGGUGAGUAAUGUCUGGGAAGCUGCCUGAUGGAGGGGGAUAACUACUGGAAACGGUAGCUAAUACCGCAUAAUGUCGCAAGACCAAAGAGGGGGACCUUCGGGCCUCUUGCCAUCGGAUGUGCCCAGAUGGGAUUAGCUUGUUGGUGGGGUAACGGCUCACCAAGGCGACGAUCCCUAGCUGGUCUGAGAGGAUGACCAGCCACACUGGAACUGAGACACGGUCCAGACUCCUACGGGAGGCAGCAGUGGGGAAUAUUGCACAAUGGGCGCAAGCCUGAUGCAGCCAUGCCGCGUGUAUGAAGAAGGCCUUCGGGUUGUAAAGUACUUUCAGCGGGGAGGAAGGGAGUAAAGUUAAUACCUUUGCUCAUUGACGUUACCCGCAGAAGAAGCACCGGCUAACUCCGUGCCAGCAGCCGCGGUAAUACGGAGGGUGCAAGCGUUAAUCGGAAUUACUGGGCGUAAAGCGCACGCAGGCGGUUUGUUAAGUCAGAUGUGAAAUCCCCGGGCUCAACCUGGGAACUGCAUCUGAUACUGGCAAGCUUGAGUCUCGUAGAGGGGGGUAGAAUUCCAGGUGUAGCGGUGAAAUGCGUAGAGAUCUGGAGGAAUACCGGUGGCGAAGGCGGCCCCCUGGACGAAGACUGACGCUCAGGUGCGAAAGCGUGGGGAGCAAACAGGAUUAGAUACCCUGGUAGUCCACGCCGUAAACGAUGUCGACUUGGAGGUUGUGCCCUUGAGGCGUGGCUUCCGGAGCUAACGCGUUAAGUCGACCGCCUGGGGAGUACGGCCGCAAGGUUAAAACUCAAAUGAAUUGACGGGGGCCCGCACAAGCGGUGGAGCAUGUGGUUUAAUUCGAUGCAACGCGAAGAACCUUACCUGGUCUUGACAUCCACGGAAGUUUUCAGAGAUGAGAAUGUGCCUUCGGGAACCGUGAGACAGGUGCUGCAUGGCUGUCGUCAGCUCGUGUUGUGAAAUGUUGGGUUAAGUCCCGCAACGAGCGCAACCCUUAUCCUUUGUUGCCAGCGGUCCGGCCGGGAACUCAAAGGAGACUGCCAGUGAUAAACUGGAGGAAGGUGGGGAUGACGUCAAGUCAUCAUGGCCCUUACGACCAGGGCUACACACGUGCUACAAUGGCGCAUACAAAGAGAAGCGACCUCGCGAGAGCAAGCGGACCUCAUAAAGUGCGUCGUAGUCCGGAUUGGAGUCUGCAACUCGACUCCAUGAAGUCGGAAUCGCUAGUAAUCGUGGAUCAGAAUGCCACGGUGAAUACGUUCCCGGGCCUUGUACACACCGCCCGUCACACCAUGGGAGUGGGUUGCAAAAGAAGUAGGUAGCUUAACCUUCGGGAGGGCGCUUACCACUUUGUGAUUCAUGACUGGGGUGAAGUCGUAACAAGGUA
rnacentral:rRNA from 1 species